rnacentral:tRNA from 1 species
GCCCUAAUAGCUCAGUCGGUAGAGCAUGCGGCUGUUAACCGCAGUGUCACAGGUUCAAGUCCUGUUUGGGGCGCCA